rnacentral:rRNA from 1 species
UACGGAGGGGGCUAGCGUUGUUCGGAAUUAUUGGGACGUAAGAGCUCGUAGGCGGUUUGUCGCGUCGGUUGUGAAAACCCAAGGCUCAACCUUGGGCCUGCAAUCGAUACGGGCAGACUAGAGUACUGCAGGGGAGACUGGAAUUCCUGGUGAUAGCGGUGGAAUGCGCAGAUAUCAGGAAGAACACCGGUGGCGAAGGCGGGUCUCUGGGCAGUAACUGACGCUGAGGAGCGAAAGCGUGGGGAGCGAACAGG